rnacentral:lncRNA from 1 species
GCCGGCCAGCUCAAGCUGACGUGCCCGAAGAACGACACGGCCAACACCACCGUCAACGACAUCCGGACGCCCAACGCCUUCGACAACAAGUACUACGUCGACCUGCAAAACCGCCAGGGCCUCUUCACCUCCGACCAGGACCUCUUCGUCAACGCCACCACCAGGCCGCUCGUCGCCGAGUUCGCCGUCGACCAGUCGGCGUUCUUCCACCAGUUCGUCUUCUCCGUCGUCAAGAUGGGCCAGAUCCAGGUGCUCACCGGCUCGCAGGGACAGAUCCGGGCAAACUGCUCCGUCCGCAACCCCGGCGCCGCCUCCGCCGACGAGGAGCUCCCGUGGUCCGCCGCCGUGGAGACCGUCGUCGAGGCGGCCGAGAGCAUCGUGCUCUAGACACACAAUUGUGCGCGCCAUGGACGCGUACGUCAGUACGUGUACCGUACGUUGAAUGUGGAAAGAGACGACGACGACUGUGGAUAUAUGUUGGUUACUGCCAUGUCGAAUAAAUGCAUGACGUCAUGACAACCUCCUUUAUGAUCAAUAUAUAUGGAUGUGGAUUUUCAUCUUGCAGGAAACAUCUUUUAUUGUUUGUAUGUUAUCUAAAUAGUUAUUAAAAAUUUAAAAAAUUAUAUAUAAUAACAUAGAUUAUUAUGAAAUAUAUCACUCCAUAAACAUACAAGACCGAAUUCAACUUCUACAAAUUGCAACAAAAAGAACAAAUUAAAUUGAACAUAGUUAUAUAUAUAUUCGCAGCUAUAUUUGUUAUUUUUGUUACAUUAUAGAAGUUGAAUUUAAACUUAAAUGUUUACGGAGUGAUAUAUAUUUCAUAUUAAUAUAUAUUGCCAAAAUUUUUUAUGAUUAUUUUAGGUGGAAUGCACGAAUCGAGAAGAUAUCCCUUGAGUGAUAAAACCACUUUCCCAAUGUAUAUUGCAGAUCACUUCUUUUAAUUAAUUUAAGCCAAAUUUAAGAUUUAAUUAAUUAGGUUGGAGUGGAGGCAGAAGUCACGCACCUGUAGACACACAUGACACAUGCGUUGAGUAUUAAGGCGUACAAUAUUUGUCGGCAACGAUAAUAGAUUAAUAAUUAAUUCAUAAGAUACCUGCAUAAAUAGACGUAUGUACGUAUAUACCAGAAAGAGAGAGAAACAACCUAGUGUCUGAAACUCUAAAGACAUACGUUUGCUGCAUACAUGACAAAAACAUCCCGAUGAUUACUUGAUCCUGAUUAGGCAAUGAUCAACACCAAUCAGUGAUCGAUCCUCGAUCAUCAGCAGAUAGCAAGCACAUGUCGAUUGUUGCUGGCAGCAAGCAAGCUAUAUAUAGUUUGUCACCCUCCAGGUCACAGAUUACUUCAACUGAAGAAGUAUCCGAAUUAACACCAAUAUAUCAAACAAAAUAAAGUAAAGUACAGUACUUUCCGUUUCAGAUUAUAAGACAUUGUAAUUUUGAUCAAAGUCAAAUUAUUUUAAAUUUGACUAAGUUUAUAGACAAUAAUAUUUAUAAUAGUAAAUUAGUUUCAUCAAAUCAAUAAUUUAAUAUAUUUUUAUAAUAAAUUUGUCUUGGGUUGAAAAUGCUACUAUUUUUUUAUAAACUUAAUCAAAGUUAAAGCAGUUUAACUUUAACUAAAAUCAAAAUGUUUUAUAACGGAGGUAGUAAUCAAUAAUUAAUCAGAUCGCCGGCGUCUUGUCUGCUGAUGGAUCAUACAGUAUAAUGGAAUGACGGAUGGUUCCUGUAGAUGGAAUGACGGAUGAGGCUUGUGCAACAGCGGCAUGCCAAGACGCACAAGACGAAGCCGCCAUGGUAGCCCGAGCUGUGGAGGGGAAACUAUUUCUUGAUCUUUCGAGGGAAGGGGAUAUCUCCUCGUUAUUUGCAUAUCACUUAAAUAAUCAGACGACAUCUAAACUAAGAAUCAUAUAUACAUAUCUAUCAGUCCAAUGGAUCAUCUACGAGAAGUCGUUGUUCAUCAGGAGCAGGAGGGUUGCCGUGGAGGGUAUACAGCAUGGCUUUUGUGCCGCAGCCGGAUGCCAUGAGGAAGAGGAAGAUGGCGAGGGCGAGGAGGAAGACGGCAAGGGCUCCAUGGUGGGAGCGGUAGUACUUCACCAUGAGGACGCCGACGCCGAUUGUCGUGACAGCUAGGCAGGCCAAGAAGGCCACCAGACCGUAGUCGUUGUCGAUCCCGACAUCCCGCUCCGCCAUGGCGGUGAAGUAGUAAUCGUCAUCGCCGUCGCCGCCGCCGUCGCCGCCAUAACCAUCGUAGUUAGGGUUCUCUAGAUCGCCCAUUAUUUAUUGUUCUUCGAUAAUAAUUAAUUCUGAUAUAUGCCUCUCUCUGCUAAUGUACUAGCUAGAGAUCACGAUCGAUGUAUGUGUGGUUGUUGAUUGGUACUAUUUGUUUGUGCGGAUUGCAAUUAGGUUCGAAUUAGGCUCGGAUUAUCUCGUUCAAUUCGGUCACGCAUGCAUACUCUAAGUAAAACAGUCACGGAUCGAUCGGGUACCAUAUAUGCUUAACCAUAUACCAAAUUAAAUAAAGGAGAAAUAUAAUUUCUACCAACACGGGUGUUAUCGUCUCCUGGCUGGGCUGCCCUCUCUCCCCUCUAUGGCACAUGGCUGCAUGAUUGGUGGCCAUCUUCUAGGGCUUGUUUACCUGAUCAUCUCCGUGCCAGCUUCGACUCCCUGGUCCUCCUAGUCUCAUGGCAACUGUGGAGGGAACGUAACUCCAGGGUCCUUGACUCUGUGCUCUCUUCGGUCGCAGUAGUCCUAGAGGUCAUCCUUUUGGAGGGCCGGCUGUGGUCGUUAGCGGCCGUCACUUACUUUGGGGAAUUGUUGGGAGCGUAGAGUGGCUCUGCUCCCUUCCGCUGUUUGGAGUAGAGCUUUUCGAGUUUUUUUUCCUUUCCUUUCUUUGUUUUUUAUCUUUGUUUUCUUCCUUACUUGGCAUAGGCCGGUCUGGCUGAGUGAGUCGUGUAUCAAAACUCUAUUCUUCUAAUAUAUUGACAUGCAAUUCUUUUGCGCGUUCGCGAAAAUAAUUUCUAGCAACAAUUAAUCAAUCAAAUAAGUAAAAUACCCUAUACCUCUGUUUUUAAAUAGAUGAAAUCGUUGACGUUGGGAAUACGUUUGACCAUUUUCAUCUAAUUCAAAAGAAGAUGGUUUUUCAUCCCUAGAUAUACCCUUUUAAUUGCAAAAAAAGGUUGAUAUACAUUAAUAAGAGAUAUUGACUUAAAAAAUAUAUAAUGAAACUACAAAUUGUAACAAGGUACUUUUAUAACAGAUAUAUCGCAUAAAAAAUAUAGAAGUUAAAUUUGACUUAUUUGUAACAAUAAAAAAAAUAAAUUAAACUAAAACUUGCUAAAACAUACAUCUAGAACUAUAUUUGUUCCUUUUGGUUAUAACUUAGUAGAAGUUUUCGCAAACCCGCAUUACACGUCAAUAUAUAUUAGAAGGAACUUAUAUAAGUCAAAUUAAGUUUUCGCAAACGUGCAAAAGGAUUACACGUCAAUAUAUAUUAGAAGGAACUUAUAUAUAAGUCAAAUUUUACUUAUAUAAUGUUCGUGGAAUGGUAUAUCAUAUAUUAAUAAUGGAUCAUCUACUACAGGAAGCCUGUAACAUUGUUCGAAGGGAGGGUGGCAAAUUGCACGACGAGGAAGCAACAGACGAAUGCCAAGAAGAAGAAGAAAAAGAAGCUGAGCACGAGGAGUAAGACGGCAUCCGCUCCGUGAUGGGACCCGUACGUGGUGGAAGUGCAGUGGAUGGCGUAGCAGACCACAAUGCAUGUAUUGAACACUCACGGAUCGAUCGAGUAUACUGAUCAUGUUUGAAUUCGGAAAAGAAACUUUCGUCAAAAUUUUCUAACUAGCAACACGAUUGCAAGAAUCGAUAUGAUAAAAAAAAAGACGUGUAUUUUAAAUUUAAAGUUUUAAUUUGUGAUCAUACGUGACAAACAGCGCCCUGUUUUCAUCACUGACGUAGCUAGCAACUAGCUUCCAUCCAAAGAAGAAUUAAGAGCUAGCCCAUAGAUUGAUUAAUUUGUUUACAUUGCAUAUGUACGUACAUUCAUGUAGUGCUGAAUUGAAGGUACGUUAAUCAUUCUCGAUCCCCUCAACUCCGUGCGGACUACUAAUCAACAUGCAUGGAAGUUGAUAUAUGAAAAAUUAAUCCUAAAGAGAGAAAUUUGACCUUGCCUAGCUAGCUUGUCAAGUCAAAUGAUCAUUCGUUUGCGAAGGAGGCAACGUAACGACUAACGACUAGCUAGGUAGCAUCUGCAACGUUUGUACGUACUACGUAGUACAUCGGAUCGUACGUACUGGCCGGCCGGUUUGGGUGAUCGAUGAACUCGAUCGCUCGAUCACACGCAACUGAUAAAAUAGAACAAUCGAUGGAAGCUACUAGCUCACAUUAUUGAGACAAAACGCAACACAGGUAGCAAUUUUUGCCAACCUUCAUACAGCUGCGCGAAAUGGAUGAUUUUGUAGGUAGUCGAUUGCGUUGACAUUUUGACAUCAUUUUGUAUAUGCGAAAAUGGAUUUUGUAGGUGCGAACGAGCAAACGCCUAUAAAUUGAUGAAGACACUCGCAUGCAAGCUCAUUCACCCCAACUCCAAGACACAAAAUUAAGCCGAUCGAGAUGGCGAGAAAAAUGAGCAGCACGUUGCAGGUUUUGGUCGUUUCCUGCUGCAGCUUGCUGCUUCUGUGUGCUCCGGCGGCCUCCGCCGGCGAUUACCCGCCGACGGCGAAGGGCUUGUCGUACGGUUUCUACCAGAGGAGCUGUCCCAAGGCGGAGACCAUCGUGAGGAGCUUCCUCAAGAAGGCCAUCCGCAACGACGUCGGCCUCGCCCCCGGCCUCAUCCGUCUCCACUUCCAUGACUGCUUCGUCCAGGCAAUUAACUAAUUGAUUAAAAUUAAUUGAUUAUACACCUAAUCAUGCAUAAUGCAUGUGCAAAAUGAUGAAAUUACGCCUCAAACAUGCUCUGAAUUUUGAAUUCUGGAUUGAACAGAUCGAUCGAUACUAUAUUUAAACACGCAUCUGUGACGGGUAAUUAUUCGCGAACCGCCACUAAUAAUUGUGCUGCGCUGUGCGUGCAGGGUUGCGACGCGUCGGUGCUGUUGGCGCGCACGGCGACGGAGGCGAGCGAGCUGGACGCUCCACCCAACGAGACCAUCCGCCCGUCGGCGUUGAUGGCCGUCGCCCAACUCCGCGCCCUGCUCGACGACGCGUGCAGCGGGGCCGUCGUCUCCUGCGCUGACAUCCUCACCCUCGCCGCGCGCGACUCCGUCCGCCUGGUCGGCGGGCCGGAGUACAGGGUCCCCCUGGGCCGGCGCGACGGCGCGACGAUCGCGGCGAGGGAGCGCGUCGUCGCCGCGUUCCCGCCGCCGAGCUCCAACGUGACGGCGCUCCUCGCCGCCGUGGCCAAGAUCGGCCUCGACGCCGCCGACCUCGUGGCGCUCUCCGGCGCGCACACGCUCGGCGUCUCCCGCUGCAUCUCCUUCGACGACCGCCUCUUCCCGCAGGUGGACGCCACCAUGGACGCGCGGUUCGCCGCCCACCUCAGGCUCUCCUGCCCGGCCAAGAACACCACCAACACCACCGCCAUCGACGUACGGACGCCCAACGCCUUCGACAACAAGUACUACGUCGACCUGCUCAGCCGGCAGGGGCUCCUGACCUCCGAUCAGGUGCUGUUCAGCGACGGCAGGACGAGGGGCCUCGUCGGCAGGUUCGCCGUCGACCAGCCGGAGUUCUUCCGCCGCUUCGCCUUCUCCAUGGUGAAGAUGUCGCAGAUCCAGGUGAUGACGGGAGUGCAGGGGGAGAUCCGCACCAACUGCUCGGUGCGCAACGCCGCCGGCGGUGGCACCUAGCUGGAGCUCAAUUACUCUUUGCUCCGAUGAAGAACUCGGAGCUUGCAUGUAGCACGUUUUACUCGGGGUGGAUUUUAAAUUUUUAAUCACUCGAGAGAAUAUUCUCUCGUGUAUCUUUUUCUUCUAAAUUCGAUACAAAUAAUUAUGAAAAAUUCUAAUAAAACUAGCGAAAUGCCCAUGCGUUGCACUGGGUGAAGACAAAAAUAAAUAGUAAUGGGCGUGUGGGAGCAUAAUGCCACCAGGUUAAUUGAGAUCCUUAUAGUCAAAUCGAAUCUUUUCGGUGCAAGUAAGACGCUAACAUGACAUAAUUAUUCGUUGCUCUAAAUCCAUUCACAUGGAUUAUAAGAAAGCUAUUAAUACCACUUUAAAAUGAAAUUAUGUAUUAUACAUACUAAAGUUUGAAACCCAAAAAGUAUUUAUUUUUGUCAUGUAUUAUUAUGAGUCGGUUGCAAUGCAUGGUUAUAUUUUUGUACUUGAUAUUGAUAAACACUUUUUUUUACAUACUGCAAGAGUAGUAAUAGUACAAGAAAUGUUUUUCGCUAGCUAUCAGAUAAAUCUCACUGUACUCCAAUUGCAUAAUCGCUUUCACUCAAAAAAUCAGAAGGAAAUCGUACGAUGAAUGGAAAGAAAAAAAAAAGUGGUGUAUCAUCUCACUCUAAAAAAAUUAGAACAAAAACAUACAACGAAUGAAAAAAAAUUGAUGUGGAUGAGGGAAAAAAUCUGGAUGUAAACACGAUUCAUUUUGUUGGUGACUACAUGUUUUUUUAAAAAACAAAGACACGUGAUUGUUUUCUAUUUUCUAAAAGUAAUUUAUUUUGUCAGUAAAUAAUUCAUUUUGUUGGUGGUUACAUGUUUUUUUAAAAAAGAAAGACAUGUGAUUUUUUUUUUACUUUCCCAAAAUAAUGAAAUUGUUCCUUUUUUUAAAUCCAAUUCCUAGUAGACACAGAUCCAAACACAAACUUUAUUUAGUGUUAAUAAUCUCAGGCAAGCCUCCUAUUUAGGUGGUAUUAUUCGUGCUACAGUGCUCGGUUACUACUAUAUCACGCAGAACUAUGUUGUGCUGGGCUGCUGCUUCUCUGCUCUGUAGGCUGGCUGCCGGGCUGCUCGCUAGGUUUCUCUUUUUUUUUUCCAUUCUCUUUUAUUUGCGGAGCUCAGAGAUCGUCGUAAUGCAUCCGGAUUCACGGAUUAGCGGCGAAAUAAUCACGUGGGCCCACCCUUUAAUGACGGAAGAAAAAAAUCAACCGAAAACCUUACUUAUUUUUUAAUUAGGUAUAGAUAUAGAUAUAGAUUUGACAAUGUAGAGUAUAGUGAUAUCUAUCGGUCCACCAAAAAUCAAGCUAAAAUUUGACAUACCCACUAAGAUUAAAAAAAGAGAGACAAAUUUUGUAUACAAUAUGCUACUAUUCAUAAGUUUGUCUUUUCUAUAUGUCGAUGUGUGAGUUGAGUUUGGAUCUAAAAUUUUGUGGAGUUGUAUAGAUAUGUUGUACGAACAUUAUCAAAUUUUAUAUAAUUUUUUUAUAACUGUUUGGAUGAUAUUUUUUUAAAAUAACCGUUUGGGUGGAUUAUAAAAUGCAGCUAGGCAGCUAGCAUCCAUCAAAAUAGUUUCCCCGCUUUAUGUACGCUCAUCGGUUGCUAGUCUGUUAAUGCUAGCUGCAUUUUAUAAUCCGCAUGUUAGUUCAGAGAUCAAACUUUGAUAUUUGAAGGAAUGAAUAAAAUAAAAUUUGUUUGGGAAUCGAUUGCUUAUGCACCCUGCGAAAAAGUGGCGGUUCAGCCUUCAAAAUUUUUUGGGCCUACUAACUUCGAUGGGCCGUUUUUUUUAGCCCAUGCAGAAGACAGAAGUGUAGGACAUUGACGUGACAACCUAACCAUGCACAUAUUGGAUGCAUGCGCAUAUUGGAUCACAUAGAUAUAUGCACAGACAGGGGUGGAUCCAACGUGGGUGCGGGGGGUUUCGAGUCCCCCCUACACCCACAAGGCCCAUGGAUACCUCCCAGAGCAUCCCCUUUAAUUUUUUUAAAAUGAAUGAUAAACUUAAGGCUUCUAAAUGGCUGGAGGUUGAACAAACUGUGUAAUUGAGCCCCCCUCCUCCCAAUUUUUGUUCUUGGAUCUGCCCCUGUGCACAGAGGAUGGAGUAUGUGAAGUGAAGGUCAAGAGUUCGUCAGGCAUAACCAAUUACGGCUGUGUUCGUUACUACUGGUUGGGAACAAAUCUCUUGGCACAUAAAAUGGAGCGGCUCAUUAGCAGCUACUCCCUCCAUUUCAGGUUAUAAGACAUUUUGAGUUUAGUGAAAGUCAAACUGCUUUAAGUUUGACCAAGUUUACAGAAAAAGUAGUAACAUUUUUAACCCAAGACAAAAUUAUUAUGAAAAUAUAUUCAAUUAUUGAUUUGAUGAAACUAAUUUAGUAUUAUCAAUAUUAAUAUAUUUGUCUAUAAACUUAAUCAAGCUUGAAAUAAUUUGACUUUGAGCAAAGUCAAAACGUCUUAUAACCUGAAUUGGAUGGAGCAUUUUUUUGAAAAAUAGAUUAAUAUGAUUUUUUAAGCAAUUUUCGUAUAGAAUUUUUUUGCAAAAAACACACCGUUUAGCGGUUUGAAAAGUGUAUGUGUAAAAAACGAAGAAGAUGAGUUGAGAAAGCUAGGAAAGAAGUCAGUCUAAGCUCGUCGGCAUAGCACUUAAUCUGCUUUACCUGAGUGGUGGCCGGUCCUGGCCUUGUACAAGGGGCUGACGGCCUGAGGCUGAACCCCGUGAAACACCACCACCUCUUCUUCAACAGUUCAACUCGAGCGGGGGCGAUGGAAAAAGCAAUAGCAGGGGACAUGAAUAUUCCAACUUUCCAGGACAUCUUUCUGAAUUCUGAUGGUGGUGGGCAAUGUGAGACUGAAAAAAAUCGAUAUGGGAGAGAGAGAGAGGUCAGAAAUGGAGAUGGAGGGGAUGAUAGGUGGAACCCACUCUAUUUUUUUUAAUGAUUGGGAUGUCACGUGAACACCAAGUCAACGAAAAACCGCUUUUAAAAACAGUUGAUGUAGUCAUUUUAAACGGUUUUGAUAGUUAGAGGGGUCGAUUUAUCUAGUUUUAUGGUUGAGGAAUAUGAAUCGGAUUCAAUUUAUAUUUGUGUGAGUAGUUAAAUUUGCUUGUGUUUUUCUUUCUUCAUCAGCUUAUUCUUAUUUUUCAAUGAUGAUAAACUGAUCAGCGUAGCCGCCGGCCCGUCGCCCACCCUUAAACAACGACAGCUAAUUUAUGCAUGCAUGGAUUCCGAUGGAGGAGCUGUGUGCACCACUCAUUCGUAAGACUUCUUUCGAAUAAUUCAACGGAAGAAGGUUGAACCAUUUGAAGCGAAUCACACAUUAUUGAUCUUUCUCUCCAAAGAAUCGUGCUAGCUCGUUGGAAAAAAGGGGAAAAAAAAACGGCGAGCCUAGCUAUAAUUCAAUUUGCGAGAUUACACAUAUGUGAAAAAUCGCCAAGUUAAGGGUUUUUCUUUAUACAUAACUAAAUUUGCUACUAAUCCUUAUAUAGCCGCCUAUGAGCAUUUGUGCAUUGUACUAUGCACCAACCUCCACUUGUAAAGUUUCAACCAAAAAGAAAAAAAAAGCCAUCCACUUGUGCUGCCAAUUUGCUCAAUCCCGACAAGCUCGCUCGAUCGUUCGCCGCAUCAGCCAGUCUCAGUCCGCUGCAAUUUGUUCGCGCAUGCGUUCAUAUAAUAGACCUAUCAUAGAUUUUUCGACGAUUCCAACGACCUCGUGGAAAAAUCGCAGAUGCACGCACCAAAUCCAUCAAUUUCAUCACGACACUCGCAAGUAGUGCGCGUCCGCUAUAAAAGCGAUGGAAAUCCUCGGAGGACGGCACACGGUUGAUCGAUCAGUACGAGUACGACGAGAGCUAAGUAAACUUAGCUAUAUCGAUCGACCAUGGCGUCCAGGACUAGUGCUACUGCCGGCAUGCUGCUGCUCGCCGCCGCGGCUGCGCUGGUGUGCAGCUCGGCGGCGGCGAGGAUGCCGCCGUUGGCGAAGGGGUUGUCGUUGGGCUACUACGACGCGAGUUGCCCGCAGGCGGAGGCCGUCGUGUUCGAGUUCCUGCAGGACGCCAUCGCCAAGGACGUCGGCCUCGCCGCGGCGCUGAUCCGGCUCCACUUCCACGACUGCUUCGUCCAGGGCUGCGACGCCUCCAUCCUGCUCGACAGCACACCCACCGAGAAGAGCGAGAAGUUGGCGCCGCCGAACAAGACCCUCCGCAAGUCGGCGUUCGACGCCAUCGACGAUCUCCGCGACCUGCUCGACAGGGAAUGCGGCGACACCGUCGUGUCCUGCUCCGACAUCGUCACCCUCGCCGCCCGCGACUCCGUCCUCCUCGCCGGUGGCCCGUGGUACGAUGUUCCCCUCGGCCGCCACGACGGCUCCAGUUUCGCGUCUGAGGACGCCGUCCUGAGCGCGCUCCCGUCGCCGGACUCCAACGUCACCACGCUCCUCGAAGCGCUGGGCAAGCUCAAGCUCGACGCCCACGACCUCGUCGCCCUCUCCGGCGCGCACACCGUCGGCAUCGCGCACUGCACUUCCUUCGACAAGCGCCUCUUCCCUCAAGUCGACCCCACCAUGGACAAGUGGUUCGCCGGCCACCUCAAGGUCACCUGCCCGGUGCUGAACACCAACGACACCACCGUCAACGACAUCCGGACGCCCAACACCUUCGACAACAAGUACUACGUCGACCUGCAAAACCGCCAGGGCCUCUUCACCUCCGACCAGGGCCUCUUCUUCAACGCAACCACCAAGCCGAUCGUCACCAAGUUCGCCGUCGACCAGUCGGCCUUCUUCGACCAGU